GCCGGUGUGGCCCAAUUGGUAGAGGCGUCGAGUUUAAGCCUCGAGAGCUGGGGGUUCGAAUCCCUCCACCGGUACGA
rnacentral:tRNA from 1 species